UCGUCAGUCAGGUAUAUCCUUACCUGUUUCUCCUCCGGGAGAACGGAACAUGAUGAUUGGAAUUCGCAUGACACGUGAUUAGUGUUACCGCGGCGGUUGGGGAGCAACAACACUCCAACUGUUCCUUUCUGAU